GAUGAACGCUAGCGGCAGGCUUAAUACAUGCAAGUCGAGGCGCAGCAUGAUUGUAGCAAUACAAUUGAUGGCGACCGGCAAACGGGUGCGGAACACGUACACAACCUCCCAAUAAGUGGGGAAUAGCCCAGAGAAAUUUGGAUUAAUACCCCGUAACAUAACGAUGUGUCAUCACAUUGUUAUUAUAGAUUUUUCGCUUAUUGAUGGGGGUGCGGCUGAUUAGAUAGUUGGCGGGGUAACGGCCCACCAAGUCUACGAUCAGUAGCUGAUGUGAGAGCCUGAUCAGCCAGACGGGGACUGAGACACGGACCCGACUCCUACGGGAGGCAUCAGUAAGGAAGAUUGGACAAUGGACGCAAGUCUGAUCCAGCCAUGCCGCGUGAAGUAUUAAGGUCCUCUGGAUUGUAAACUUCUUUUAUAAGGGACGAAACAAGGCUUUUCUAAGUCGUCUGUCGGUACCUUAUGAAUAAGCACCGGCUAACUCCGUGCCAGCAGCCGCAGUAACAC
rnacentral:rRNA from 1 species